CAGGCUUAACACAUGCAAGUCGAGGGGCAGCAUGGUCUUAGCUUGCUAAGGCCGAUGGCGACCGGCGCACGGGUGAGUAACACGUAUCCAACCUGCCGUCUACUCUUGGACAGCCUUCUGAAAGGAAGAUUAAUACAAGAUGGCAUCAUGAGUCCGCAUGUUCACAUGAUUAAAGGUAUUCCGGUAGACGAUGGGGAUGCGUUCCAUUACAUAGUAGGCGGGGUAACGGCCCACCUAGUCUUCGAUGGAUAGGGGUUCUGAGAGGAAGGUCCCCCACAUUGGAACUGAGACACGGUCCAAACUCCUACGGGAGGCAGCAGUGAGGAAUAUUGGUCAAUGGGCGAGAGCCUGAACCAGCCAAGUAGCGUGAAGGAUGACUGCCCUAUGGGUUGUAAACUUCUUUUAUAAAGGAAUAAAGUCGGGUAUGCAUACCCGUUUGCAUGUACUUUAUGAAUAAGGAUCGGCUAACUCCGUGCCAGCAGCCGCGGUAAUACGGAGGAUCCGAGCGUUAUCCGGAUUUAUUGGGUUUAAAGGGAGCGUAUAUGGAUGUUUAACUCAGUUGUGAAAGUUUGCGGCUCAACCGUACAAUUGCAGUUGAUACUGGAUAUCUUGAGUGCAGUUGAGGCAGGCGGAAUUCGAGGUGUAGCGGUGAAAUGCUUAGAUAUCACGAAGAACUCCGAUUGCGAAAGCAGCCUGCUAACCUGCAACUGACAUUGAGGCUCGAAAGUGUGGGUAUCAAACAGGAUUAGAUACCCUGGUAGUCCACACGGUAAACGAUGAAUACUCGCUGUUUGCGAUAUACGGCAAGCGGCCAAGCGAAAGCGUUAAGUAUUCCACCUGGGGAGUACGCCGGCAACGGUGAAACUCAAAGGAAUUGACGGGGGCCCGCACAAGCGGAGGAACAUGUGGUUUAAUUCGAUGAUACGCGAGGAACCUUACCCGGGCUUAAAUUGCAGAUGAAUUACGGUGAAAGCCGUAAGCCGCAAGGCAUCUGUGAAGGUGUUGCAUGGUUGUCGUCAGCUCGUGCCGUGAGGUGUCGGCUUAAGUGCCAUAACGAGCGCAACCCUUGUUGUCAGUUACUAACAGGUUCCGCUGAGGACUCUGACAAGACUGCCAUCGUAAGAUGUGAGGAAGGUGGGGAUGACGUCAAAUCAGCACGGCCCUUACGUCCGGGGCUACACACGUGUUACAAUGGGGGGUACAGAGGGCCGUUACCACGCGAGUGGAUGCCGAUCCCCAAAACCUCUCUCAGUUCGGACUGGAGUCUGCAACCCGACUCCACGAAGCUGGAUUCGCUAGUAAUCGCGCAUCAGCCACGGCGCGGUGAAUACGUUCCCGGGCCUUGUACACACCGCCCGUCAAGCCAUGGGAGCCGGGGGUACCUGAAGUGCGUAACCACGAGGAGCGCCCUAGGGUAAAACUGGUGACUGGGGCUAA
rnacentral:rRNA from 1 species